CUGAUUCAAACAAUGGGAGCCACUUUACCUCAAGGAUGUUAAGGGGAAUUAUUUCACCACUUCCAGCCUGGCGACUUGGUGCUGAUCAAGACUUGAAAAGAAGACAAGCUCCACCCAAGCUGGGAAGGUCCCUAUCAAGUGCUCCUGACCACUGAGAUGGCCGCGCAAACAGCUGAACAGGGGUGGACUCACUAUACUCAAGUCAAGGGACUGGUAACAGAGACCCCAGAAGAGAGAGGAAAAAGACCAGUGGAAAGUGCACGGGUCAGCUGAGGAACCCUUAAAAAAAAUUAGCAAACCAAUCACCAGAAUCUUGGAGGGAAGUUCUCUUUUUAAAGAAGCAAUAAACCAGGGGAGCUGAUGUCUUUUCUGUCUUCAGGAAAGAGUAAAUAAAAGAAGGAGUGUGUCCAGAGAGUGAAAAUGUUUUUUCUCGAUCAAUACUCAAGAGUUUGACCUCUUCCUUUUUCAUGACUUUGGAUGUGCCCCAAACACCAGACACCGCUAUGGUCCUAUCUCUGUGGCCCACUUCAAAGCCAAAUAUGAAAAAUUUGGAGUCAGGCCAUGUCAUGAGUUAUCCUAGUAACUUAUGCCCCUUGACAGUGUGAAGAGAGGGGGUUGAGGUUUCUCAAGAACAUUAACACAAAUGCACCUCUGUGGGCAGCAAGAAGCCUGCUGGGUGUGUCAAAAUCAGAAGAAAAACUUUCAGCUGAGAAAAGCAGUCCUGGUUCCUCUCUGGGUAUCCAGAUAGGAUUGGUAACAAAUAAAGGAGAGAGAGGGGUGAGGGGACCACAGGAUCCUCCAGAUGCUUCUGUUUCACCUUCCCCCCAUCUUGUUUAGCCACCACACCAGCCAGCACCCUGGAAAGAGCCAGGGCUGGCUUAGAAACCUUACGUAGAGAACACUGGGGUAGUGAGUCACCACUGACUUUGAAGGGCCAUCAAAGGUGACAGCUGGGAGGUGAUGUGGUCUUUCUACACAGCCAUGCACAGCAGCUUCCUGCCAAAGGAGGGAGAGACACGAAUCACACCCGCAGGGCUUGCUGGCCCAGGGAGGGGGAUGGCCAGGAUGAUGCCACAUUUAUAUAUGACCAGGGCCCUGUGAGAAGGGGUUCUUCAAUUCAAUAAAAUGGCAGCAUCAUGGCCCUGGGCCAGCUGGCUCAGGCCUGGGAGGCCUUGAAGCACU
rnacentral:lncRNA from 1 species